rnacentral:rRNA from 1 species
GUUCGUGGAUUAAUUUGUCUGGUUAAUUCCGUUAACGAACGAGACCUUAACUUACUAAUUAGAAUACAAUAUUGAUAUUAUAUUCUAUUAGAAGGACCAUGUGUUUCCAACACAAGGAAGCGUGAGGCAAUAACAGG